ensembl:snoRNA
UUGCACAUUCUUAUGUGCUAUACAAAUAAUUGAAGGUUAAUUAGCAGUAUAACUAAGUAGUAAUACUGCCAGUCUCCUUCAGACAAAU